rnacentral:rRNA from 1 species
GACGAACGCUGGCGGCGCGCUUAACACAUGCAAGUCGAACGGAAAGGCCCUGCUUUUGUGGGGUGCUCGAGUGGCGAACGGGUGAGUAACACGUGAGUAACCUGCCCUUGACUUUGGGAUAACUUCAGGAAACUGGGGCUAAUACCGGAUAGGAGCUCCUGCUGCAUGGUGGGGGUUGGAAAGUUUCGGCGGUUGGGGAUGGACUCGCGGCUUAUCAGCUUGUUGGUGGGGUAGUGGCUUACCAAGGCUUUGACGGGUAGCCGGCCUGAGAGGGUGACCGGCCACAUUGGGACUGAGAUACGGCCCAGACUCCUACGGGAGGCAGCAGUGGGGAAUAUUGCACAAUGGGCGGAAGCCUGAUGCAGCAACGCCGCGUGCGGGAUGACGGCCUUCGGGUUGUAAACCGCUUUCGCCUGUGACGAAGCGUGAGUGACGGUAAUGGGUAAAGAAGCACCGGCUAACUACGUGCCAGCAGCCGCGGUGAUACGUAGGGUGCGAGCGUUGUCCGGAUUUAUUGGGCGUAAAGGGCUCGUAGGUGGUUGAUCGCGUCGGAAGUGUAAUCUUGGGGCUUAACCCUGAGCGUGCUUUCGAUACGGGUUGACUUGAGGAAGGUAGGGGAGAAUGGAAUUCCUGGUGGAGCGGUGGAAUGCGCAGAUAUCAGGAGGAACACCAGUGGCGAAGGCGGUUCUCUGGGCCUUUCCUGACGCUGAGGAGCGAAAGCGUGGGGAGCGAACAGGCUUAGAUACCCUGGUAGUCCACGCUGUAAACGGUGGGUACUAGGUGUGGGGUCCAUUCCACGGGUUCCGUGCCGUAGCUAACGCUUUAAGUACCCCGCCUGGGGAGUACGGCCGCAAGGCUAAAACUCAAAGGAAUUGACGGGGCCCCGCACAAGCGGCGGAGCAUGCGGAUUAAUUCGAUGCAACGCGUAGAACCUUACCUGGGUUUGACAUGGAUCGGGAGCGCUCAGAGAUGGGUGUGCCUCUUUUGGGGUCGGUUCACAGGUGGUGCAUGGCUGUCGUCAGCUCGUGUCGUGAGAUGUUGGGUUAAGUCCCGCAACGAGCGCAACCCUUGUUCACUGUUGCCAGCACGUUAUGGUGGGGACUCAGUGGAGACCGCCGGGGUCAACUCGGAGGAAGGUGGGGAUGACGUCAAGUCAUCAUGCCCCUUAUGUCCAGGGCUUCACGCAUGCUACAAUGGCUGGUACAGAGAGUGGCGAGCCUGUGAGGGUGAGCGAAUCUCGGAAAGCCGGUCUCAGUUCGGAUUGGGGUCUGCAACUCGACCUCAUGAAGUCGGAGUCGCUAGUAAUCGCAGAUCAGCAACGCUGCGGUGAAUACGUUCCCGGGGCU